UCAUAAAGCUGCGCCGCGCUCCUGCAUAUAUUUUGAUUCAACUGAAGUCAGGUUUGUGGUUUUACGCAUUUAAAGAUUUUAAACCAAUACAAACUGUAAUAUUAAUCUAAUUGUUUUUACAAGCUUUGUAAAAUAAAUAGAUCAUUAUUAAAUGUAACGUUUAAUGUUUUAUUUAACGUUAUUUUUGUGAGUAAAGCGCACCUGCACACGAGAAUCAGAAAAGACGCGUCUCCUUUUGCUCCUUUAAUGCAAAGUGAACACGGAUUCAGAUAAACUAAACUGAGAUCCAUGUGACACACUAUUAUAAAGAUGUCGUUUAUUAAAGAGGAGAGUGAAGAUGUAAAGAUUGAAGAAACAUUCAGAGCAAACUUGAAGAUACUGAGAUACAGACAGACCUGGUGGCCUUGAAAGAGGAGAGUCCAGAACUGAAUAAUGUGAAAGAAGAGAAGCAUCUGUAUGAGAAACAUCAUAAUUUUAUAACUGCAAACAAUAUUUUAGUUGUUCAGACUAAAAGGUCUUCCUCACGAAAAAGAGCUCAAACGACUAGGUCUAGAUGUUAUUUCAACUGCCAACAGUGUGGAAAGAGUUUCACUAAAAAAGGAAACCUUGAUGGCCACAUGAGAAUUCACACUGGAGAGAAACCUCACAUAUGCCCUCAGUGCGGAAAGAGUUUUACACAUCAAGGAACCCUUAA